GCGGGUGUAAUUCAGUGGUAGAAUGUCUGCUUGCCAUGCAGAAUGUCACGGGUUCGAGUCCCGUCACCCGCUC
rnacentral:tRNA from 2 species